rnacentral:rRNA from 1 species
CAGAGGGUGCAAACGUUGCUCGGAAUUACUGGGCGUAAAGCGCGUGUAGGCGGGCCAACAAGUCAGAUGUGAAAUCCCUGGGCUCAACCCAGGAACUGCAUUUGAAACUGUUGGCCUUGAGUGGUGGAGAGGGAAGCGGAAUUCCUGGUGUAGAGGUGAAAUUCGUAGAUAUCAGGAGGAACACCGGUGGCGAAGGCGACUUCCUGGACACCAACUGACGCUGAGACGCGAAAGCGUGGGGAGCAAACAGGAUUAGAUACCCUGGUAGUCCACGCCGUAAACGAUGGACACUAGGUGUCGCGGGUUUUGACCCCCGCGGUGCCGUAGCUAACGCGUUAAGUGUCCCGCCUGGGGAGUACGGCCGCAAGGCUA